UCUAGUUCUACAAGCUUAUCCAAAGAAAAAGAAAAAAAACAAAACAUGAUGAUGGGAAAAUCUUCAUCAAAGGCUGCUUUCAUCAUCCUUUUGGCUUUUAUUGUGAUGAUAUCCGUAACAGUUGAGAUUGGUGAGGCAAAACGUCUCUUACUUGAAGAAACUUCUCGACACUUGUUGCAACAGGAAGCUUCACUACCAGUUAUUAAGCGACUUAUGACAAGUUUUUGUAGGCCAGGAUGCAAACCAUUAUGCUUUGCUACAGCCUGCCAUUGCGUAUGUCCUGAAGGUCAAAACUAAGUGUUUGGUAUGGUUGGGUCGUUAAUUUUAUGUAAGAAUUGUUGAAAAUGAUCUUAUUUAUGAAUUGUUGUUAAUUUUA